rnacentral:rRNA from 1 species
UGGCUCAGGAUGAACGCUAGCGGCAGGCCUAAUACAUGCAAGUCGAACGGUGAUAGCAAUAUCAUAGUGGCGCACGGGUGCGUAACACGUAUGCAACCUACCUUAUACUGAGGGAUAGCCUUUCGAAAGGGAGAUUAAUACCUCAUAACACAUUGAACUGGCAUCAGUUUAUUGUUAAAGAUUUAUUGGUAUAAGAUGGGCAUGCGUCCAAUUAGUUAGUUGGCGAGGUAACGGCUCACCAAGACGAUGAUUGGUAGGGAAACUGAGAGGUUAAUCCCCCACACUGGCACCGAGAUACGGGCCAGACUCCUACGGGAGGCAGCAGUAGGGAAUAUUGGGCAAUGGAGGCAACUCUGACCCAGCCAUGCCGCGUGCAGGAAGAAGGCGUUAUGCGUUGUAAACUGCUUUUAUAUAGGAAGAAAUAGACCUCGCGAGGUAAGUUGACGGUACUAUAUGAAUAAGCACCGGCUAACUCCGUGCCAGCAGCCGCGGUAAAUACGGAGGGUGCAAGCGUUGUCCGGAUUUAUUGGGUUUUACAGGGUGCGUANGCGGUUUAUUAAGUCAGUGGUGAAAGACGGUCGCNUCACGGUUGCAGUGCCAUUGAUACUGGUAG